rnacentral:rRNA from 1 species
ACGGGAGGCAGCAGUGGGGAAUAUUGGGCAAUGGGCGAAAGCCUGACCCAGCGACGCCGCGUGAAGGAAGACGGUCUUCGGAUUGUAAACUUCUUUUAUGUAGGACGAAACAAAUGACGGUACUACAUGAAUAAGCCACGGCUAACUACGUGCCAGCAGCCGCGGUAAUACGUAGGUGGCGAGCGUUAUCCGGAUUUACUGGGUGUAAAGGGUGUGUAGGCGGGUUAGCAAGUCAGAUGUGAAAAUUAUGGGCUUAACUCAUAACUUGCAUUUGAAACUGUUGAUCUUGAGGGUCGGAGAGGUAACUGGAAUUCCUGGUGUAGCGGUGAAAUGCGUAGAUAUCAGGAGGAACACCGGUGGCGAAGGCGGGUUACUGGACGACACCUGACGCUGAGACACGAAAGCGUGGGGAGCAAACAGGAUUAGAUACCCUGGUA